UUCGAGUAUGGAUUCUUGUGCUUAUACCCUCUUUGCACUCGUAUCACUUGUAAUCCUUGUUCUCUUUACGUUUGUAUCAUCCUCUCCAUCUUGAAAGGAAUUUGUCCUCAAAUUUACACCUUGCAAAACAAAAGAGAGGGACCCAAGCACACAAUCCUCAUGGUAUGAGGGUUAGCAUUGGUCUCACAAAUUAUUUAAUCACGUCAAAGGGGUACACUUUUGGAAUACAUCCAACAAUCCUUUGUUAUGAUCAUGAAACACUUACUACAAGAAUCAUAAAGGACUUAGCUAAGAUAGACAUCAAGGGAAGAGGAGUGCAACUGGAGACCAUCACAUAUAUCAAUAAGCCAAGGUUUUUCACAUUUGAAAUACAUUCAAAGGUCCUUUGUGUGUGACAAGAAAAUCUUAGCAUGAAUGGCACAAAGGAUGUGGUUUUGGUAGAUACCAAGAGAUAAGGAAACCACAAUGGUCUUGAUGGCCUUACUAUACCCAAAAGGUAAGACUAACUUUGGCUUAGGAACCAUAAGAUACUUUUUUUUCAUUACCUCCACAAAUAACCUCAUCAAAUAUGGUGCCACUAUUGAUCCUAAGGUCCACCUUACCCACAUAUCAUUAUCAUUCAAACAAGGAAACCAGCCACCAAACUUACUACCUCUACACAAUACACAUUCAAAAUUAACAUGGUUAUCAUCAUAGGUAAAGAGGUAGUAUAGGAAGGAAUCACGUGUGA
rnacentral:lncRNA from 1 species